AUGCCUAACACAUGCAAGUCGAACGAAGCCUUCUGGCUUAGUGGCGCACGGGUGCGUAACGCGUGGGAACCUACCAUCAGGUUCGGAAUAACAGUUAGAAAUGACUGCUAAUACCGGAUAAUGUCUUCGGACCAAAGAUUUAUCGCCUUUUGAUGGGCCCGCGUUGGAUUAGCUAGUUGGUGGGGUAAAGGCCUACCAAGGCGACGAUCCAUAGCUGGUCUGAGAGGAUGAUCAGCCACACUGGGACUGAGACACGGCCCAGACUCC
rnacentral:rRNA from 1 species